AAAAUAAAAGCUCAGUGGUAGAGCUUUUUGACUGCAGCUCAAGAGGUCCUUGGUUCAAAUCCAUGUGACCCCU